AUCUCCUGCAGGUCUUUCCAGGGCGCUGAACCGUUUUGGGAUCAGUUAUUUCACAGGUUUCCUGAUCUGGGCCAGUUGCUGCAGUUUUUAAGUUGCAGGCAAAUAUUGUUGGGUUCCUCGCUCUAUGGGCACUGGGAAUGGCCACAUUCAUAAAAAUGAAUCUUGCCUCGUGUACAAUCAAUUUUUUUUUAUCCCAAUUCCUGGCUGAUAAGUCUUAUAUCGGCUCUGCCGGGGUCAGAGGAACCCAAGAACAACCGAUCAAUUCCGAGACCAAGCCCUUUUGCUUAUCUUCCAUCCUGCAGCGUUCGCAAGCGUUUACUAUCAGACUCACCAAAUUGUUUGCGGUCAAGAUCUGGCAAAGCAAUUGACGGUGAGACAAACUGAGCAGAAUAUUUCUUCAUAG